rnacentral:rRNA from 1 species
GAAGAGUAUUUCGUGCAAUUCGAUAUAAUUUGAUAAUAUAAUUUUUACUUUUUUAGGAGGUAUAUUGGUGUAUAAUUAAAGUAAUAGAUUGUUAAUGUAUUUAUUUUGGAUUUAAUAUUUUUGGUGAUAGUUUAUUUGUAUUGUGAAAGGGUAUUUAAUUUUUAUGAAAGUUGAUUUUAUUAUUGUUCCUUGUGUAUCAGGAUUUAUUGAAAUUAUUUAUUUAUUUGUUUUUCUCGAAUUUAAGAGAGCUAAAUGUUUAUUAUGUUUAUUGUUAUAUAAAUAUCAUUAAUAUUAUUUAGUAAUGAUAUGUUAAUCGUUUUUAAAGAUAUCUAGUUACUUAAGAAAUGAAUUUAAUUUAGUUUCUUUUUUUAGUUUUUAUUAUUAAUAAUUUUAAUUUAAAAUUGGGUAAGGUUUAUGGGGGACUAUCUCUAUAAAUAAUUUUCUAUAAUGUUUGCUCUAUUGAAAGGUAUUUGGGUUUAAAGGUGAUUUAAAUUUUAAGUGUUUUAAAACUUUAUAUGUGUUGUUUAUUUAGUUUUUUUAUUUAAGUUGAUUAUAUUUGAAGUUGAAUAAGUUGUAAAUAUGAUAUAAUUAGUAUAUUAUUGUUAAUAUAUUAUUUGUGAUUUGUUAAGUUUUAAUAAGGAAUUAGGCAAAUAAUUUGUGCUCGUUUGUUUAACAAAAACAUUUCUUCUAUGAUAUAUAUAUUGGAAGUAUAACCUGCUCACUGAUGAAUUAAAUGGCCGCGGUAUAUUGACCGUGCAAAGGUAGCAUAAUCAUUAGUCUAUUAAUUGUAGGCUGGAAUGAAAGGUUGGAUGAAGUGCAGACUGUUUUAUUAUUAUUGUAUUAAAAUUUAAUUUUUAGAUAAAAAGGUCUAUAUGUUUUCAUGGGACGAGAAGACCCUAUAGAGUUUAAUAAUAUUUUGAUUAGUUUAGUUAGAAUUUAUUGAUUAGUAAUUUAGAUAUUAUUUUGUUGGGGUGAUGGCGAGAUAAAAAUAACUCUUGUUUGGUUAUUAUUAUUGUGUAUAUGAUUAUAAUGAUCCACUAUUAGUGAUUAUAAGACUAAAUUACCUUAGGGAUAACAGCGUGAUUUUUUUGGAGAGUUCAAAUCGAUGAAAAGGAUUGCGACCUCGAUGUUGGAUUAAGAUAAAGUUAUAGGUGAAGAAGUUUAUAAAUUUGGGUCUGUUCGACCUUUGAAAUCUUACAUGAUCUGAGUUCAAACCGGCGUAAGCCAGGUUGGUUUCUAUCUAUGAAUUGUGAAUACAUUUUAGUACGAAAGGACCAGAUGUUUAAAAUAAUUUUUUGUUAUUGAUUAAUAUUAAAAUUGCUUUGGCAGAUAAGUGCAAUGAAUUUAGAAUUCAUAAAUGUGGUUA